CAUAGAGCUCAGCACCGUCCAUAUUAUCCAUGGCGGCGGAGGCGUCUUCUUUCUCGAGGAAAGUAACGAAGCCGAAGGAGCGGUGCUUCUGGGUGGCUUGAUCUAGAGGAGUUUUGACGUCCUUAAUGUCACCGAAGGGGAUAAAAGCGGCAUGGAGAAUGGAUUCGUUCACUUCCUCUGCCAAUCCUCCGACGUACAGUGUGUUCUUCUGCACUUGCUGUUGUUGCUGCUGCUGCGCCAUUCUCCUCCGUUUAGCUUUCCUUUCGGCUUUUUGGG
rnacentral:misc_RNA from 1 species